rnacentral:misc_RNA from 1 species
CCACUAACGACUCCCUCCGCACCGUCUUCGCCCCCUUCGGUGAGAUCGAAGAAGCCGUCGUAAUCACCGACAAAGCUACCGGCCGCAGCAAGGGCUACGGCUUCGUCACUUUCCGCCACAUCGACGGCGCAAUCAUCGCCCUCAAGGAGCCGAGCAAAAAGAUCGACAGCAGGGUCGCCGUCGCCAGUCUGGCCUCAGCGGGGCCCAAUGCUGCAAGCGGAGCUGGCACCGGCAUUCCUGCCCCGACCGCCGACAC